UCUCAUUCAAGUCUCACGUUCUUCUCUCUCCUAUUUCACUUUCGCUACCUUUCACCACAAAAACCCUAGACACGAUAAGGUUUUCAACCAUCUGCGUGCGCCGUGAAACCCAGCGAGAAUAAUGAAUCCAUUUUCAUUCUUUGCUCAACACUAGCUUUCACUUGAAUCGUACGGAUCGUUAUUUGGAGCAUCAUUGAAUUUCUCCUCUUCUUCUCUUACUGCGUAAUGAAUUCCUCUGAUCUCUAUACUUCAUUUUCAGUUUCUUAUGUUUCUUAUUAAAGAUGACCAAAACGAUGUCUCACGUGUAUAUGGGUAGCAUUAAUUCAAGACUAACAUAGAAGGACCAGGAAGACGAGUUCUAUGUUUUACGAUGUUAUUAGAAGGUAGUUAAAAAUAUAUGAGUAUUUUCUACUCCAAAUUUAGUUACAUGUAUGUAAGGGGUUUCUCUGUUUUGAAGAAAAAUGUUUUUAUGUUUCUAACUCUUAAUUUUUUUAUUCUUUCUCUUCUAGACACAUUCAAUUCUUUAGGUUGGGUUAAAGACUAUUGCAGAGUUUUUUGUACUCUCAAAUUUCAGAAAUAUGAAGAAGUUAUACACUUUAACCAAUAAGAAUUCAAGUUCAAUUGGUGUUGAAAAGUUUUUUGAGGUGAUGUGUGACAUCAAAAUUAGGGAUGAUAAGGUCAGCUAAAGUUUGUUUUUUAUUUUUAAAACUCUGUCUUUACUUAUUCUGCAUUUUUGUUCUUGAUUAAGCAUUUAGUUUAAUGAAUAUGCAGUGUAUUUAUGAAUGUUGAUGGUCUGAAUGUAGAGGGAAAUAAAACUGAAACGUGACAAAUAAUUGUCACUAUCAUUGGAGAUAAAAAAGGCCAGCCAAAAUAGAUGUGUUUGACUUAUCAUUUAUGAUAAUUAUUGGCUUGGUAUGAGUGAGAUUGUAUGAUAUAUAUUACUUAUAUGAUUUUCAAUAGUACCACACCACCUCUUAUUGCUCUAGUGAAUUACAAGGGCUUGAUUUUUUGAAUUCCCUCUUUCCUUUUGUGAGAUAUUUUUAUUUUUAUAGAAGGUGGUAAUGGGUCUUCGAAGUCUCCACCUUUAACUCCCUAUGAAGAAUUGUUAGAGAUAUUUUUCGAUGAUCAAUUUGAAGUUAUGUUUGAGUACCCAAAGCUUUCAUAAAUUGUAGAUAUGAAGGUAUGGAUUUCAAAUAUGAAGCUUAUCCAAGUGGCUGGUACCAAAUGGAAGGUAGUUUAUUAACUUUUGUGGUUGCCUUGUGUGCUUGGAAUAAAUCCAUCAUGAAAAGUUCAAAUCGAUUUUCUUAAAUAUUGAUGUGUGGUAUGUAGUUUAUGGCUUUUGAAAGUUAUAGAAAAUUAUGCUUUUGUGCAUUUAUGAUUUUGUGUUUAAAUUGAUCAAGAUCUUAAUGUUAUUUUAAUCAAAUAUGUUCUUCUCGGUAAGCCUAAAAGUCUUUUGCAUAUAAAUCUAACCAUGAUUGUUGGCAAGAAAAUUUCAAUAAGUUAAUCUCUUUCUCUUCUAAGUAUUAUGGAAAAGAGACGGCAUGUUGCUUUAAACUAUGAUGGAACAUAUAUGCAUCUACUAGUUUUCUUUCUUUUGAAACUCACUACAUGGCCUAUGUCUUUGUUCGUGACACUCCAUUUCAAUACAAGUCCACUAACAAUAUGUAUUUAAUGAUGAAAAUUAGCACUUGUGUGAUGGAAAAUGUCUAAUUUAUAUACUGGAUAUAUGCUUAAUGAUUGAAAGUAUCUAUUGUAGGGAAUGACAACAAUCAAUUGAUGUUACUGUAGGUGGGAUUAUUAGGUAUAAGGAAGCUUAUUUUCUGAGACAAUGCUGAAAUAACUAAAGAGCUUGAGAGCUUGGCAAAGUCUAUACAGCAAGAGUUUGCAUGAAACAUUUGUUAUGUUUUUUUUAUGAUUAGUUUUCAAUUUAUUGAGUUUGAAAUGAUAAGGAGUAGUAAAAGUAUUGGAAUAUAAAUAAACUGUAAUGAUCUUGACCAUUUGAAAUAUUAGUGUUGGUAUUGUUUUAUCUUGACUUUCCUUGGUAGGAAAAAUUAAAGGAAUAGAAAUGGAAUCUCUGUAGCUUAUGUUUUUUAUGUUCAUAUAGUAUAUAUUUUUAUUUUGGUUAUUUUGAAUAUUGUAAUUAUUUUUUUUUACACAUUUUAAAUAAUUUGCGGGGGUUUUAAAACUCCACAAAUAAAGCCCCCUCAGUUUGAACACGAUACCAGCGGUCGCCCAAAACUCCCGCAGAUAAAUGGUGGGAAUCGUAUAAGCGGCAGUUUUCAUAACUCCCGCAAAUCAUUUUGCGGAGGUCAAAAACCCCCGUUAUAUAGCUUAAAAACCUCCGCAAUCAAGCGUGUUUUUUUGUAGUGAUUUUAUAUUAUUGUCAUGAUAUCAAAGGAAACUGAUCAGUGGUUUUCACACAUAUAUUUUCCGUUGUUUUUAAGUAUUUUUAAGUUAUGUCAUUGAGUGUUUUAUUUCUUUAUUCGUCAUUUUAUGCUUUGGUUGUAUGUUUUAAUGUUUUCAGGUUCAUAUGGAGAAAUCAGAGUAAAUCAGUGCGAAACUCGGAUUUUUGAGGAAGUUCAGAAAACAUGCUACAGGAGGCCUGACACGGGUGGCCGUGUUGCACAACACGGGCCGUGUCAGGAAGAGGGCGCAAGAAGAAUGGAAAGACAGUGAAACAACACGGGUUCCCGUGUUGCACAACACGGCCCGUGUUGCACAUCCUGGGACUCGACAGCAAAAAUAAAUAUGACAGGUGACCAACACGGGUGCCCGUGUUGCUCAACACGGCCCGUGUUGGGUUUGACGCUGAUUUCAGUGAUUUUUGUGAUUUUGUUCAGUGGUUUGCCUGCGAGGGUGUUUUUGGGAUUUCCAACCAACUUAAGCGAGUCUGCACUAUUUAGGAGGGUUUUCAAGAUGAAUUAGGGAUCUUUUUUGCCACACGAAGAAUUGGAGGAUUGAGAAAGGAAGCCUAUGCAAUUGGAGAAGAACAGAGAACUCUCAUGAGCGGAAGCCAUUGAAAAUCAAAGUUCAUCAUCUCUAUUGUAAUGUCUUUAUUUGAUAUCUUUGUAAUUUCUUUGGAUGAUAUGAGUAGCUAAACCCCCCAAUGCUAGGGGGGUGUCCCUGAUUAACAUUUGUGAUGAUUUUGAAUUCCGAAUUUCAAUAACAUAUUUCUCUUUCAUGUUUAAUUUAAUGGUAUAAGGUUUUUAAUGCUUUCCU